AGCGGCGGACGGGUGAGUAACGCGUGGGUAACCUGCCUCAUACAGGGGGAUAACAGUUAGAAAUGCUGCUAAUACCGCAUAAGACCACGGUACCGCAUGGUACAGUGGUAAAAACUCCGGUGGUAUGAGAUGGACCCGCGUCUGAUUAGGUAGUUGGUGGGGUAACGGCCUACCAAGCCGACGAUCAGUAGCCGACCUGAGAGGGUGAUCGGCCACAUUGGGACUGAGACACGGCCCAG
rnacentral:rRNA from 1 species